AGCAGCCGCGGUAAUUCCAGCUCCAAUAGCGUAUAUUAAAGUUGUUGCAGUUAAAAAGCUCGUAGUUGAAUUUCGGGAUUGGCGUAUCGGUCGUGCCUCACGGGGUAUGAACUGGUGCAGUCAAUUUCUCACCUUCUGGAGAACCGCGAUGUCCUUAAUUGGAUGCCGUGGGGAACCAGGACCUUUACUUUGAAAAAAUUGAGUGUUUAAAGCAGGCAUUUUUGCUUGAAUACAUUAGCAUGGAAUAAUAAAAUAGGACGGCAUGGUUCUAUUUUGUUGGUUUCUAGGACCACCGUAAUGAUUAAUAGGGAUAGUUGGGGGCAUUAGUAUUCAAUUGUCAGAGGUGAAAUUCUUGGAUUUAUUGAAGACUAACUACUGCGAAAGCAUUUGCCAAGGAUGUUUUCAUUAAUCAAGAACGAAAGUUAGGGGAUCGAAGACGAUCAGAUACCGUCGUAGUCUUAACCAUAAACUAUGCCGACUAGGAAUCAGACGAUGUUAAUUUUUAAUGACUCGUUGGCAC
rnacentral:misc_RNA from 1 species